GUAAGUACAGCAAUGUAUUAAGUUGAUGGUUACUAAUAGGUCGAGGGUUUAACCA
rnacentral:rRNA from 1 species